rnacentral:rRNA from 1 species
AACUCUUAGCGGUGGAUCACUCGGCUGGUGCGUCGAUGAAGAAUGCAGAGAACUAAUGUGAACUGCAGGACACAUUGAUCAUCAACACUUUGAACGCACCUUGAGGCCCAAGGUUCCUCCUGGGGCUAUGCCUGUUUGAGGGUCG